rnacentral:lncRNA from 1 species
GCUGUGUUACACGGAUUAUACAAUGUUUGAUCAAAGUCUACAGGGCACAAGUGUGCCACAGUACCUUUGUUAAGAAGGCCACAUUGAAGUUUUUUGAAUUCAAUAAGCUUGUACCACUAGACUUAUAAUUAUGCUUUGCUCGUCUCUAGUGCAAGCGGACCCCAGUCAAUGAGGACCUCAUCUGUGCUGCAGUCGAUAGAUCACAACUCAAUCAGAACCUGUCUCCUGGCAAUUCCUCCAAAUCUCUGUGCAGUUUCACCAUCACUGACCACGCCUGUUCCUCGGUAAGACUAUUUAAUGUGAGCUGCGAAUCCUAGAAAAAGAUU